rnacentral:rRNA from 1 species
ACCUUUACUAUAGCUUGACACUGAACAUUGAGCCUUGAUGUGUAGGAUAGGUGGGAGGCUUUGAAGCGUGGACGCCAGUCUGCGUGGAGCCGACCUUGAAAUACCACCCUUUAAUGUUUGAUGUUCUAACGUGGACCCGUAAUCCGGGUUGCGGACAGUGUCUGGUGGGUAGUUUGACUGGGGCGGUCUCCUCCUAAAGAGUAACGGAGGAGCACGAAGGUUGGCUAAUCCUGGUCGGACAUCAGGAGGUUAGUGCAAUGGCAUAAGCCAGCUUGACUGCGAGCGUGACGGCGCGAGCAGGUGCGAAAGCAGGUCAUAGUGAUCCGGUGGUUCUGAAUGGAAGGGCCAUCGCUCAACGGAUAAAAGGUACUCCGGGGAUAACAGGCUGAUACCGCCCAAGAGUUCAUAUCGACGGCGGUGUUUGGCACCUCGAUGUCGGCUCAUCACAUCCUGGGGCUGAAGUAGGUCCCAAGGGUAUGGCUGUUCGCCAUUUAAAGUGGUACGCGAGCUGGGUUUAGAACGUCGUGAGACAGUUCGGUCCCUAUCUGCCGUGGGCGCUGGAGAACUGAGGGGGGCUGCUCCUAGUACGAGAGGACCGGAGUGGACGCAUCACUGGUGUUCGGGUUGUCAUGCCAAUGGCACUGCCCGGUAGCUAAAUGCGGAAGAGAUAAGUGCUGAAAGCAUCUAAGCACGAAACUUGCCCCGAG